rnacentral:rRNA from 1 species
GACGGGGGGUCCUAGCGUUGUUCGGAAUCAUUGGGCGUAAAGCGUGUGUAGGUGGUUCGGUAAGUUAGAUGUGAAAGCCUUGGGCUUAACCCAAGAAGUGCAUUUAAAACUCCCGAACUUGAGUAUGGAAGAGGGUCGUGGAAUUCCUGGUGUAGUGGUGAAAUACGUAGAUAUCAGGAGGAACACCGGUGGCGAAGGCGGCGACCUGGUCCAAUACUGACACUCAUACACGAAAGCGCGGGGAUCAAACAGG